UAAUUCUGCAGUCGGGGACAUGACGUUGGUGCCGUGUGCAUGUCCGCGCGUCGGAAAGCCUGACGCGCCAAUCGUUGUCCCCACUUAUCGCUCUGGUUCCAGGGGCGAUGGUGCAAACGGCACAGGUGGGGGACGC
rnacentral:sRNA from 1 species